rnacentral:rRNA from 1 species
UGGGGGAUAUUGCACAAUGGGCGAAAGCCUGAUGCAGCGACGCCGCGUGGGGGAUGAAGGCUUUCGGGUUGUAAACCUCUUUCGCUAUCGAACAAGGCCCGCUUAGGGUGGGUUGAGGGUAGGUGGAGAAGAAGCGCCGGCUAACUACGUGCCAGCAGCCGAGGUAAUACGUAGGGCGCGAGCGUUGUCCGGAAUUAUUGGGCGUAAAGGGCUUGUAGGCGGCUUGUUGCGCCUGCUGUGAAAACGCGGGGCUUAACUUCGCGCGUGCAGUGGGUACGGGCAGGCUUGAGUGUGGUAGGGGUGACUGGAAUUCCAGGUGUAGCGGUGGAAUGCGCAGAUAUCUGGAGGAACACCGAUGGCGAAGGCAGGUCACUGGGCCAUUACUGACGCUGAGGAGCGAAAGCAUGGGUAGCGAACAGG